rnacentral:miRNA from 1 species
AUAUUAGGUUGGUGCAAAAGUAAUUGUGAUUUCUGCCAUUACUUUUAAUAAAAGGCAAAAACCACAAUUGCUUUUGCA